rnacentral:rRNA from 1 species
UACGUAGGGGGCAAGCGUUGUCCGGAUUUAUUGGGCGUAAAGAGCGUGUAGGCGGUUUGGUAGGUCCGCUGUGAAAACUCGAGGCUCAACCUCGAGACGCCGGUGAAACCAUCAGGCUAGAGUCCGGAAGAGGAGAGUGGAAUUCCUGGUGUAGCGGUGAAAUGCGCAGAUAUCAGGAAGAACACCCGUGGCUAAGGCGGCUCUCUAGUACGGUACUGACGCUGAGACGCGAAAGCGUGGGGAGCAAACAGG